UACGUAGGGUGCAAGCGUUGUUCGGAAUCACUGGGCGUAAAGGGCGUGUAGGCGGUCAAGUAAGUGGAAUGUGAAAGCCCCCGGCUUACCCGGGGAUCUGCAUCCCAAACUGCUUGGCUUGAGUACGGGAGAGGAUAGGGGAAUUCCUGGUGUAGCGGUGAAAUGCGUAGAUAUCAGGAGGAACACCGGUGGCGAAGGCGCCUAUCUGGCCCGAUACUGACGCUGAGGCGCGAAAGCUAGGGGAGCAAACGGG
rnacentral:rRNA from 1 species